UUGAAGUUGUCUUUGUGCUUAUGGUUUUAUUUUUGUGCUUAUGGUUUUAUUUUUUAACAGGAAUUAUUAGCUCUAGAAGAGAAGAUGGGUACUGUGAGGAAGGAGCCAUGAGAUGCAGUGGGCAUGAAGAUAUCAAAUGAAGUAUUUGUCAGGAAGAGUAUGGCAUCGGAGAUGAGGUGGCAAGGUUGAAGUGCGAGCACGGGUAUCAUAUGGUAUGUAUAGAGCAGUGGCUGCAGUUGAAGAAUUGGUGCCCAAUCUGCAAGGCUUCAGCAGUGUCAUCACGGUCAUCAUCUUCACCACCUCUCUAGUUGAGUUGAUAUUAUGUGCCAAAUCUGAAAAUGACCAUUUUAUUUCAGUACAUAUCAUGUGGCUCUCUCUUCAUUUCUCUUUUUCUUUAUUUUCUUUUGACUAUGUAAAUAGAAAGUCCAUUUCUUAAUGUAAAACAAUAAGCCCAGGCUCUUUUGCUUUGUGGUGGGAACUCCAAAUUUAACUUCAACACAACUUCAAAUGAAAAGAUUCUCAAA